GACGUAGGGCGCGAGCGUUGUCCGGAUUUAUUGGGCGUAAAGAGCUCGUAGCGGUCUGUUGCGUCCGCUGUGAAAACUCGGGGCUUAACCCCGAGCCUGCAGUGGAUACGGGCAGACUAGAGGUAGGUAGGGGAGAAUGGAAUUCCCGGUGUAGCGGUGAAAUGCGCAGAUAUCGGGAGGAACACCGGUGGCGAAGGCGGUUCUCUGGGCCUUACCUGACGCUGAGGAGCGAAAGCGUGGGGAGCGAACAGG
rnacentral:rRNA from 1 species